GCCGAGGUGGCUCAGUCCGGCUACGGCGCGAGCCUGGAGAGCUCGUGAGGAUUUUCCUCUCGGGAGUUCAAAUCUCCCCCUCGGCG
rnacentral:tRNA from 1 species